GACGAACGCUGGCGGCGUGCUUAACACAUGCAAGUCGAACGGAAAGGCCCUGCUUUUGUGGGGUGCUCGAGUGGCGAACGGGUGAGUAACACGUGAGUAACCUGCCCUUGACUUUGGGAUAACUUCAGGAAACUGGGGCUAAUACCGGAUAGGAGCUCCUGCUGCAUGGUGGGGGUUGGAAAGUCUCGGCGUUUGGGGAUGGACUCGCGGGUUAUCAGCUUGUUGGUGGGGUAGUGGCUUACCAAGGCUUUGACGGGUAGCCGGCCUGAGAGGGUGAACGGCGACAAUGGGACUGAGAUACGGCCCAGACUCCUACGGGAGGCAGCAGUGGGGAAUAUUGCACAAUGGGCGGAAGUCUGAUGCAGCAACGCCGCGUGCGGGAUGACGGCCUUCGGGUUGUAAACCGCUUUCGCCUGUGACGAAGCGUGAGUGACGGUAAUGGGUAAAGAAGCACCGGCUAACUACGUG
rnacentral:rRNA from 1 species